AUGCUUCGGNAGNANAUAUACUAAAAUUGGAAUGAUACAGAGAAGAUUAGCAUGGCCCCUGCACAAGGAUGACAUGAAAAUUCGUGUAGCAUUCCAUAUUUUU
rnacentral:snRNA from 1 species